CUUGGUUUUUGUCAAAUUACGAAAUACGAAAACAUCAGUAUCAAGUGGAUUAUUGCUCCAUUCUAAAAAACUCUCCAAGUUCUUCACAGGACAUAAUUUAUUCCCGGUUCUCGCAAUGAUUAUUCGAUCACCAUCUCUGUAAAUAUCCGUUUUACUUUUCUGUAUGAAUACUGACAUAUGACUUAGAAAAAAUUGAAUAUCACAGGUUUUCAAAUUCAGCAAUUCAGAAACACGUAAAAAACCAGAAUAAG
rnacentral:lncRNA from 1 species